rnacentral:lncRNA from 1 species
AAAGCUCUGUAGGGACGGGCAGGAGUGAACAUGUUGUGUUUUGUGGGCUACAAACAGGCUCUAUUUCCUCUCUGCCUCCUCCUCCUGCUUUUUCUUCCACUUUUUUUUAACAUUUGUUUUUAAAUGGAAAGUAGUUUUUAGCUCACAGGUCAUACAAAAGCUGGCAAACGGCUGGCUUCGAACCGUCCUGGCUUCGAACCGUGGCUGCCAUGUGCCUCCCGCUGCUCUACUCGCCUGAGGUUGACCCUGGUAAGCGGUUGCCGCCUGCAGACACGGCGCAUGCGAGGGAGGGUGCAGGCCGAGACUCCGCCCCGAAGGGCGCGGCGUGCCCGAGAGAUGCGAGCGUUGAGGAAACGGAAAUCCAGCGCACACGUGAAAACGCCCCGGACUGCGGCUGCGCCGCUUACCCGCACACAGACGGUUGGCAGAGGAAGAAAGCCUUGUCACACUAAAGGAGAGACAGCGGAUGUUCUGAACAGUCCUGUCGUGAAACGUUAGACAACGUGGACGAAACAGGCACAUUCCUAAGCAUCACACAUUACUGAAACUCAGUCAAGAAGAAAUAGAAAAUCUGAAUACAUCCAUGGCAAGCACAGAAACUGAACUAGGGGAUUCGAAAUCUUCCCACAAAGAAAAGCCUAGGCCCAACUGGCCUCUAUGAUACAGCAAGAAGGUGCCAUCUAUGAAGGAGAAGACAAGCCCUCACCAGACACCAAAUCUGCUGAUGCUUUGAUCUUGGACUUCCCAGCCUCCAGAACUGCUCACACCCCUUUAUUAACUGAAGCUGACUUAACCCGAACUAUCUGAAGCUGACUCAACCCGAACUAUCCGAGAUCACACGUAAAUGUUUUCCUUCUGAUCUCAACUUUUCUCCUUAUCGUGGGGCAUGGAAAGGAGGAGAUCGCAGCAGGGAAGUUUUUGUUCUUGUUCACAUGCUAACAAUGGUGUCUGUGAACUCAAGAGAAGCCUUUCAUUCUAGACAUAGUAGUUAUUUUCUAAAUCAUCUUUAAACUUAUUUGCUGGAAUAUUGUGGGGGUAAAGUGCAAACUUCCCCUUCACCAUCUGAAGGUUUGCUAAAAAUCAACAGGCAGAAGGCGAAUUAACAGGAGAAAUGGCAUGCCAAUUUGUUUGAUCACAGUUUUACAUGAAGAAUGAAGACCCAAAGACACAUGAGAAAUUGUCCAUUUUUAUGCAACACCAGACCAGGCGAUGCUCUAAGACAGGUACAACAAAGUAUGGACAUGCGUGUAGAAAUACGAGUCAACUAAAGGGUGUGAUCUACUGCUAAUAGGCUGAGUGGGGACACCCAGACUCUUCCUGGCCCCUGUGAGCAGCUUCCUUUCCUUCUGGUGUGGGGCAGGAACUUCUCUGGAAUGGGGAUCUUCUGACCCACAGUCAAACAAGAAUUGGACAGAAGUCACAUCAGGGAGACCAGAGACUAGAGUAUUGCAUCAUAGAGGAAAGACACUGAUGACAAGACCUCAGGGGAGCAGUGGAACUGGAGGCCUGGGAGCUUGGGACGUGUUCUCCGGGUGAAGUUGGCUGGCCAGCUGAUGACCUACACCAGUGCCAUUCACUCCUCAUGUGUCCCCCGGGAAUUCAUAGUGUGUGUCAUCAGGUAAAAGCAACACUACUUUCAGAUGUUUUCUGAUCUCUUUGAGAUCUGGACAACACUACUGUGUACAUAUGGCCAGCAACAAAUUACACUCAAUGAAUAUUUUAGAGAGCAGCAAAGUAAUCAAUUAAAAUGUGGGUAAACAAAAAUCACUGUGAUCACAGCUCUGUCUACAUGGUUCUUUGGUAAAAAAUUAGAAUCCUGGGGAUUAGUCUGAGGAUAAAUAUUAUUUAAAAAGCAUUUUGGUUAAAUAGUAAUUAGUAAAUUUUGCUCUGCC